rnacentral:rRNA from 1 species
AUUUUUCGGUUGAUCCUGCCGGACCUGACUGCUAUCUGAUUGGUACUAAGCCAUGCGAGUCGUUGUAGCAAUACAAGGCGGACUGCUCAGUAACACAUAGUUAACUUAACCUAUGGAUGGGAAUAACCUCGGGAAACUGAGAAUAAUACCCAAUGGGCCACAGUGCCUGGAAUGGCCUGUGGUUGAAAUGAUUUAUCGCCGUAGGAUAGGACUGCGGCCUAUCAGCUUGUUGGUGAGGUAAUGGCCCACCAAGGCUAUAACAGGUACGGGCUCUGAGAGGAGGGGCCCGGAGAUGGGUACUGAGACACGGACCCAGGCCCUAUGGGGCGCAGCAGGCGAGAAACCUUUGCAAUGUGCGAAAGCACGACAAGGUUAAUCCGAGUGUCUCCUGCUAAAGGAGUCUUUUGUCAGUUGUAGAAUCACCGGUGAAUAAGGGGUGGGCAAGUUCUGGUGUCAGCCGCCGCGGUAAAACCAGCACCUCGAGUGGUCAGGAGGUUUAUUGGGCCUAAAGCAUCCGUAGCCGGUUGCAUAAGUUUUCGGUUAAAUCUAUGCGCUUAACGUAUAGGCCGCCGAAAAUACUGUGCAGCUAGGGAGUGGG